rnacentral:tRNA from 1 species
AUCGAGGUAGCUCAGUGGUAGAGCGCCCGGCUCAGGACCGGGUGGACGCUGGUUCGAGCCCAGCUCUCGAUG